GUCUGGCCUUCAGCCCAAGGUCUGCCUGGCAGGUAGCCACUGUAAAACUGUCCAUGUUAUCCCCUGCAGCCUGUGCCCAUCUAACAAGCCUUAGUGUUUCCAUCUGUAGACGGACCCUUUCUUCCUGGUGAUAUAUACUGCAAGUAACUUCGACUUGUCUGUACUACACUGGUGGUGGUGGGUGAGGAGAGAGCUGGCCAAUGGAAAGUCCAGUCCAGUUGCAUUUGCUAAGCGGACAGCCCUUCCCAUGCCAGGCCCUAAAGAAGCAAACUCUUUGAUGCCCUAUUUCUGAACUCUUGUCACAAGUGAAUUGCAACAUCUUUAUGGCAACUUGGAAAACACUUUGGACUUGGUAGCCCUGGUUUUCUCCCUCCUCUCUAAAAUACUCAGGGUUGGGGAGGUAGGAAUUUGAAAUUCAGGGAGAGAAGUGGCCUUUGUUUGACCUCCAUGCUGAGAGCAGAACUGGUGGUUCUAGACACAGCAGGCAAAUACAUGGGGAGUGAAAACUAGGCCAGAGGUUGAAAAAGGCAGAACAUAAAAAUAGAGUCCAGAUCCUAAUCGGUGAACGUGUGUCUUUAGUGGGACCAGGAGGCAAACGGUGGCCGCUGGCCGGGUGACUCACUACUGGAAGUUCCACAUGCCUCCAGAGGUCUAGGUGGGGUUCUGUGGGGCUGGCACGUCUCUGUGGUCCACCUCGGUUUCAGCUGGCCCUGUGAAGAGUGGCAAUGGGUGAAAGCACAUAUUCUUGCAGUCAGUGAAGGGAGCAGGCUGCCCUGGGAGGGCGGUGCCUAUAAACCACGUUGUGUCACUUAAUGAAGAAUGGAUAGCAGGGUGACCAGAGAAAGUCCACUUCCUUCAGUGCGGUCUCCGUUCUCCAGUCCACGUUUGUCAAGUUCUCGUCUCUGUGUCUGUGCACCAAAGGGACAUAACCAAAUAUGCUGUGUCUACUUGGUUGAAGUGCGUGAUAGAUCUUUCUGUGACGGCACCUUCUUCUCUGUGUGACCGAGGCUGCUGAAAAAGUCAACGGACCCCUGGUUCAGUGCUCUGGUCUUCCCUACAAGUGAUCUGAGGAAGUCCAGUUCGGUGAGACUGCUUCUCUGAACAAGAGUCCAACACACAUAAUGUCCCACCCUCAAAACUAUUUGCAAUGUGUAAAUAAGGAAAUUCCAGAAAGUCUUGGCUGAGUGAGAAGAUCCAUGACAUAAUGAGAAUGGACCCAAAGAAAGGCUGUAUGAAAGGGAGAGAAGAAAGAAGAGGGAGAGGGGCAUGCCAGGAUCGGGAGACAUGGGGUCAAAAUCAGAGGAGGGGCCUGGGGCUCACCUCUUCAUGGAGGACUCCAUGCCAGGGGGCUUUAGGGGGCCUGUUGCUGGAGCCUGACUUGGUGUUGCUUGGGAGCCUGGUGCUGGGGUCUGACUUGGCGUUGCUUGGGGACCUGUUGCAGGGGUCUGACUUGGCGUUGCUUGGGGACCUGUUGCAGGGGUCUGACUUGGCGUUGCUUGGGGACCUGUUGCAGGGGUCUGACUUGGCUUUGCUUGGGGACCUGUUGCAGGGGUCUGACUUGGCGUUGCUUGGGGACCUGUUACUGGGAUCUGACUUGGCGUUGCUUGGGGACCUGUUGCAGGGGUCUGACUUGGCGUUGCUUGGGGACCUGUUGCAGGGGUCUGACUUGGCGUUGCUUGGGGACCUGUUACUGGGGCCUGAGUUGGCAUUGCAGGGACCUGACUUGGCGUUGCUUGGGGUCCUGUUACUGGGGUCUGACUUGGCGUAGCUUGGGGACCUGUUACUGGGGUCUGACUUGGCGUUGCUUGGGGACCUGUUACUGGGGUCCGACUUAGCAUUGUUUGGGGACCUGUUACUGGGGCCUGAGUUGGUAUUGCAGGGGUCUGACUUGGCGUAGCUUGGGGACCAGUUGCUGGGGUCUGACUUGGUGUUGCUUGGGGACCCGUGGCUGGAGCCUGACUUGGCAUUGCUUGGGGACCCCUGUAUCCCACAGUGCUGUGUAGGUCUCCAUAAGUGCUUCCUUCCACAGAUGCUGCCUCUGUGCUCGUGGUGUCCAAGGUCCACAUGCCUGUAGGUGGGGUUGCUCCUUCAGUGGAGCCCAGGGCUUGUUGCCUAGAAACAGGUGUUGCUUCUCGGAGGGUUUCCUGGGCCAGCUGUUCUGAGACUGGGGCUGAUGGCCUCAUGGUUCCUGUGGUUCUCCUGGCUGCAUCUGGCUCCGUCCUGACCCUGUCUGUUUCCUGCCCUGCCCUAUCAGCCUCAGUAGUCCUCUCCUUCCCACUCUCGCUGGCCCUAGGUGUGUUCGUGACUAAGCUAUAGGUGCCCCACUCCUGAACACUUUCUGUUGUUUUGAACACACUUCUGGGUUUUGAAGCUGGACUCUCUGGAGCAGGGACUGUUGCCUUGAUGGACCCCUCUGCCCCACUGCCUGUCUCCAGAGCUUCUUCCCAGGCUGUAGCAGGGGUUUGUCUUCCCUUUGCUGGAGUUGUGAUUUUGCUGGUUCCGGAAGUUGAAGUAACUCUGUCCCAUUCUGUCCCCUGUCCUAGAGUAUGGGUGGCUCCUGGGAUCCAUCUGUUGGAUGCUGGAGAUCCUGUCUCAAAGGAUGUCGUGACUAGCUCACCAGCAGCUGAAGUGGCUGUGGGGAUGGUUUCGGAAGGACCUGUGUGAACAGCAGAGAGGGACACAUGGGGAGGCUAUCCAGGGCACCAACUAGAUUUAGCAAAGAUCACUGGGUUUAAAAUAUUUGCUAAACAGCAUGCAGCCUCACUCAGAGGUGCAGUCUUUGACCCAUAUGUUGGAUACAAUAGAGAGGUGGGAAUCCCAGAUGUAUCCUCUAGACCCUUGCAAAUUCCUAGCUCCUUCUCCCAGGCACACAUAUUCUCUAUCUAGCUGUCCACAUUCCAGGUGCUGCCCUUACCGCAGAGGUGCACAGCCCAUUAGGUACUGCUCUUCAGAAAAGGAAAAAAGAAACACAGGCUCCUACAGAGCAGCCAGGCACAGCAGAUGGGUGGAGAGCAGCUGCCCAGGAACCCCAUCUGCUCUCCUUGCUGGCGCUCCUGACCUGCGGCCUCCAGCACAGAGUGGCUCUCAUGGUCUCGAGGUCCUCCCUCUCACUCUGGAACCUGCCACAGAGGUCUGGGCUUGGGAGCUGUCAAAUGCCUGCUGAGAGGUUCUCCUGUCACAGGAGAGCCCAGUCCCAGUUCUUCUGUCCUGCCUGUCACAGUUCCUCUGUAGUGCUGGCCCCUUUUGCAUGUCUGAACACAGAAGUCUCAGGACCCCAAGAAGCCACAUUUUCUAAUUCACUGCCUGCUCAGAACCAUCUCCAUAUACAUGUUCCACAGCAUUGGGGCAGGGGUCGGGGAUAAGGAGGGAGAGCUCAUGUGCAUUCGAUUGGAAGGUUUUUCCUAAUAUUUACCUUUUUUUUUUAUUAUUGUUGUUGAACGCAGGGGUGAGCCACAUCCCCAGCCCUUUUUUGUAUUUUAUUUAGAGACAGGUUCUUGCUAAGUUUCUUAGAGCCUCGCUAAGUUGCUGAGGUUGGCUUUGAACUCGCGAUCCUCCUGCCUUAGCCUCCUAAGCUUCUGGGAUACAGGUGUGUACCACCGCGCUCAGCUAUCUACCUUCUUUCCGAAGGCAAGUUCCUUCUGAAAUGAAAGGCUACCUCUGAGAGUCUUGACCUGCCCAAUCUUUCCUCAGCGUUUUCCAAAGGUUUAAGCCUCGCUCGCUGUGCCUGGGUCUUCUCUUGCUCCUUCCUAGCUCAGCCUUCACCACUUGAGGCUCAUCAAACAUGGCUCAUACCUGCAGAGACCGUCAGAUUCAUGUUCAAGAACAGCCUGUUGUUUCUGUCUCCAAUGCCACAACGGUACUGUCCCACAUCAUGCAAGGACAGUUGGGACAGCCUCACCACAAACAAGCUGCUCUGUGGGAAGUCUGCUAGAGUCACACGACCCUGGUAGUCACGGUGAGUGUAGUGGUUGCUGGACACAAUUGUGUGGCAGAUCCUCGUUGGCAGCUGCAGACGGCACCAGUACUUCCUCUGGUGCCUGUUGGCUGACGAGGGGGUGUAAUGGCACUGGAUGGUGACAGCUCCCCCAGGUUUCCCAGCUACCAGCUUCGGGCCCUUCAAUGUAUUUGCAGCUGCAGGCAGAGAAAAAAAUCAAAGGGGAGGAAGAGGGUGGGGAGAGUCGCUGUUGGGGGAAUUUUAAGCCCAAAUGCUACUAAAAUAGAUCACAGUGAAAGUGGAGCCGAAUCAGUACAGAAAUGGAAGAACUUAGCCAUUGGGGAAGCAGGAGUCACCCCAAGAUGUGGAAUGCAUCUGUACUCAAGGCCCCAGCUGGAAGAUGAAAACACAGUAAGAAUCUUACUCACUGCUUAGCUAACACUGAUCACAUGCUAGGUCUCCUUAACCAGUCCACCUGGGUUCAUUCCAUGCGCUCCAGGACAGAUGUUUGAAAAGAUGCCAUCUAAGCUCAUCUAAGAGGGCUGGGGCAGCACCUGACACAGGGGUCCCAUUUGCAUGCAAUGCAAAGAUAUGAAAUGGUGAGAAAAUAUUAGUGUGCUUUUUCUCUAAAAGGAGAGUGUGCCCUGAAACACAGGAAUCCUGCUCUGCUUGGUGGGUACCUCUCUGGAUUACAGCUGCAGAAUUUUUCACACUGGCUAUUUCUCUGCACAAGCAGGAAUGACCAAGUGCCACUGUGAAAGGACAGAAGAGUGUACUGUGAAGGUCGCCUUUGGCAUUAAGCCUAAAGGGAAUUCCUAGGCAAACCACAAUGUAACGGUUGCUGAGUGACUUUAAUUUGAUAAGGUGCUAGCAGAAACAAAGUUUAUUCUUUCUCUCGCUGCCUCUUUGUACUAUCUCUGUGGAUUUCUUUACUCCUUGAUAAAAUUUCAGGCAUAGUAGUCAUUGUCUAGUAGCUUUAAUUUUCUCUCUUGGGUAAUAAAAGUCCAGUCUAGUGUGAAAUGACAUAUCCAGCCCAGUACAAUAAAAGACUGCAAUGCCAGUCUCAUGCAGUCAAAGUUUUCCUUUCUUCCAACGGGGCUUAGAGGCCUACCAUGGAGGAGGGGGACAAAUUGGGGUCCCUUGUUUUGCUCCCUCCUUCCUCUGUUCAAACCUGCUCUCUGUGGCCUCUCCAUGGUUGGGCACAGAACAGAGAGGACAGGUGAAAGAGACAGGAAUCAUCUGCCCUUGGUGCUUUCUGCACAUGGCAAAUGUCUAAAACAGUCUCUCUCUCUCUCUCUCUCUCUCUCUCUCUCUCUCUCUCUCUCUCUCUCUCUCUUUCUUUUGCCACUCAGAUAUAUUUUUGGUGGCUUUGGUGGUUUAUCCCUCCUUGUGAGACCAGCUUUUCCUCUGCUAACCUUUUUUUGGAUACUGGCAACCACCCUAUGACUUUUGACCAUCUGCCCGUCCUUUUGUGGUCACAGUGUCCUCUGGGUGGACCUUUCAAUGGAGGCCCAUUUGGUCACAGUAAGCACACCUUUGUCCUGCUGUCAAAAGAAAUCUGGGACAUAUGGAUGGCUUUCUAGAAGUUCCUUCUCUUAAUUGGCUUAAACUGGGGACAAGCAGGUGGAAGGGAUCCAGCACACUGGCAACUCUCUCCAAAACAGCUCCUCUGCCCUCUGAGGAGUGUUCUUUGGCUUGGAUGGCUGUAUGGUGGGCUAUCACUGAAAGCAGGUGUACGUUCUGUUUCUGCAGUCCUGCAAGGAGGCUCAGCAUCUUGCUUUAGCAUGUGGGUACCUGGCAAUUUGCUCUAUGUCCUUAGGGUCUCUGAAGUCAAGAAAGUUCUGUUUAAUAUUCUAUUGCCAGGAACAGCUAAAUAAUUUGUGGGUCUCAGUGCAAAAUUAAACUGCAAAACCCCUUGUUCAAAAGUUACUAAGAAUUUCUAGAUGGUCACAGCAAUAAAUUAAGCCAAGUACUGGGUCCCUGUACAUGAGCUGACUCUGUUAUGUGUGCUUAGGUCUAAUCACAAGAAGAGUAGAGGUCAUACAAGCUAUAUUAUAUUAAUGCUCACUGUAAAUUUUACUAAACAGUCUACCCAAUCAUGCUGCAGAUGACAACAUUAAAUGGUAACUUAUUAUUAAAGGUAAGACUAUUCACAAUUACAAACAAGGACCAGCAAUGAUGCUUUGAUAAAGCAUUCAGGAAUUCUCCUGAUCUCCAUGUGGCACAUUUGAGAGGAGCAGGGUUCCAUUAAUCAGCAGAGUGGGGAGGUCUGACUUAGCAGUAGAAAACCGACUGAGAAUCCUUAAUCAAUUCUUGCAAUGCACAUUUUUUUCAAAUUAAUUUGUAAGUAAAGAACCAAUACCUUAAGAACUCAUGUGGUAGCAUACUGAUCAGUAGCUCUUGGUUUUAUAUUAUGAUUAAGGGGUUAUUUGGGGAAUUUUAUAUUAGUUAUCUGUGAGAAUAUCACCUGUGAGAAUUAAAGAAUGGGCUAGCACUUUAGGAUCUAUGUGCUACCACCUGACGGCUCUGACACCAAUUCUUUGCCCUUGGUGCGGGUGGGUGCUCCUGGCUCUUACCCACCCAUCAUUACCUGUUGCUAUGGCCUCUCUUAGGGAGGGCUGAGUGGGGCCUGCAGUUGAAGGGACUUGAGCCAGACUUGGUGUUAGAAAGGUCUAUGGCAGUACAAAGGGAGAGGAGGGGCUGUACCUGCCAAGGAACUCUCCUCCUGCCAGCAGAGGGGUGAGGAAGACAAGAAUGUUUCCAUGAUGCAGAGGUGGGUGCCAGAGGGGAGAAAGUUGUCCUGCAGCCAUCUGAGAUGGGGUCCUCUGUGUGAAGGGGCCAAAGAAGAACCUGGGCAAAGGGAGGGAGCUGAACCAUCAGCUCCAAGUGUCCACAAAGUCACCCACAAAAGGAAGAGGUGGAAAGAGCAGCCAGCUCUGAACCCCGACUUGGCAAUCCCAUCAAUUAGGACCUAGCAGUCCUCAUGCCUCUCCUCUCUCCCAUUGCUCUGACCCCACUGGGAUCCCAAGUGUCAGGGAAGAGAGGAAGGCAGCAACCAUACCCCAUUUCUGGUCUGCAGGGCUUUGCUGGCGGGGGGGGGGGAUAAAGAGUAAAUCUCUGAACACAGAUUAAGGCACUGAUCAAAAUAUUUAGCUGGACACUAAAAAUGAUGACAACUAGAACACUUGACACUUAGCAACUAAUUUCUAACUUUUCACUAUGUUAGCAGAAAAAUCAUGAGCCUGCUUGGUUGGGGGCAGUGGAAGCCUUCUUUUAUUGAAAAAAAAAAUUAAAGGAGACAGUGGGAUAUUAAAAUAAGGAGGUGGUGUGAUUAUAUAAUACAGAGAAUACCUAGUCAAAUAUGAGCUGCCUUUGAUUCAUUAAUACUUUGAUUUGUUGGUAAGCCAGACAUGGUUUAUCCUUUUUGGUAUUAUCAUAGCAUUUCCAUUCAUUUACUAAUUAAUUUCUAAGCUUCCACUUGGAAGUAGAUUUUAGGUAGUAGACAUUCUAGGCACAUGCUGUAGUCCUCAGUGGCUCCCCAUUACCAUAAAAUCCAGAUGCCACUGGAGGAGAUAGGGACAUUUAUUAUCUGAACCCGACAUAAAGCUGGUCAGCCUCACCACAUGAGCCUGCAGGGACCUGUAGGGCAGGGAUCCCGUCUCUCAUUUCUCUGUCCCCAGUGCCUGGCAUGUAGUCAGACCUUCACAAGUAAGAGUAAAACAAGUAAGUAAAUGAAUAUGAGAUGACUUUUAUUCAGACGUAGUUUCUUUGUAGACUCUGAGCUUUUAAGAGGAGGGAAGUGUCUUCAUUUUUAUGUCCUUAGUGCUGGGCCCUGCACUUUGGAGUUUAUAGAAUGAGUGGUAAAGAAGCCUCGCUAUAUUUCUUUCUUGUGUACACCCUGGAACUUUUAUCUUGAAAGUGGAGCUCACUUUGGGUCACCAGCUCAAAGGAAAGAGAGCAGAGUACCAGAACAAUGAGUAGCAGAGCAAAUGUCCCAAGUUCUGCCACAGGAGCUCUCACCUCUCUCAUUUCCCCAGCCCAGAUCUGACCACUCCCGGGCUCCACUGCAUGGCCCAAGGCCCCAGGACAGAAAGCCAUGGAUGUGCCUCAACUGUGCAGAAAUCCACUGUGCUGCCCUCCAAGAAUCUCUGCAGCCUGAAAGGCUCGGGUCUGGUUAAGCCCUUAAUCUGGACUGUGUUUGGGACUCACCUUGUAGCAGGCACAGUACAAGGAGGAGGGGCAUUUUCCAUCCUGCCCCCUGGUGGAUGACCUGCAAAAAAACACUGUAAAUGGAAAGAGGCCUGAGGGGAGGCAAAUGGGAAGCUGGGUGAGCAGCCCAGGGGAUGAGCACCUUCUGCCUUUGGGACCUCUGUUGGCUCAGAGAAGGGGCUGGGGUGGGUAUAUCCAAGAGCAAGACAAGGACUGCCCUGAUUGACUCUGUCCUCACACUCCUGAGCACGCACAUGGGUCACUGGCACCACAGUGAAGUGUCCCUUACCUUUAGCUCUGUGUAUUCAGAAGAGACAGAACUCUGCUCUAGGAGACCAGCUCCAGCACCCACUUGCUGAUGCCGAGCUGUGAAUUUGGAUGGAGCACGUAGAGUGGAAAGGGCGCAUGCUUGAAGUUGGACCUUAGUUGAAUGGCAGGGCCUUGGAAAAGGUAGUCUCAGGGCUCCAUGGCCCCCCCCAAAUAUGCAUGCUCAGGAGUGGGAGGACAGAGUCACCCCUUCUCAUGGGAAUGAGAGAAUCUGUGUGGGGUCAUUGUGCAACAUAGCUAGGAGUGCGGGUAGGUGGCGGGCGCUGCACCUGGGGUGUAGAGAAUUCCCCUUGGCUCUUGCAUUCUUCCUUGCAGAAGGGGAAUUGGUUCCUUCAGGGAUAGUCUCCUUCACUGCUAGUGUACAUACAGUAAGAAGGAGCUAAAGGUUAAACCUCAGGCCAAGCUGCUAUCGGCACUAGGGUGCCACUGUAUUUCUCCUUCACAGCUUCUAGAAGACCCUCUCUGCCCCCUGGUCUACAGGGAUCUCCCUGUUCUGGUCUCUCCCAUUGCCUGAGGAGCACCUGGGAGCAGGGCUAUCUCAUUCCUCUACCUUCAGGCUCUGAAACACGAUUGGGCACAGGUUUUUAAGGAACCAUGUGCUCUGCUGGGGCCUAGCAGAAGAGUAGGAGGGAGAUGCUGGAAGGAGCCCAUCUGCUGCUCUGGGAAAGGCACUUGGGGCACCUACAGGAUCCAGUCCCACGUGAACUCCUCGAAUACUGCUAAAAUAUGCUGGCAGAGACCAUCUGCUCAUUUGGGAUCUCUCCUCCCUUUCUUUCAUCAUCAAUCAUCAGACAUAGCACAUACUUGACUGGGCUAUGCAAUGUCUUUACCCUACUUAUACGUCUAUUUACUGAAAGCAGAGUUGGAGGGGAGAAGCCUAUUUGUUGUCUUCAAGCAAGGCUGGAAUGCAGGAGUUGAAGAGAGACUGGCUCUUCCCAGGGCAAAGAAGGAAAAUUUUGCAGGCUCAGAAGGUUUGAAAGACUAUGGAAGUUCAAAAUUCAGAGCAUCAUCCAUCCUGAUGUCCUGCCAAGUUCCAGAGUUCCAUCGUCCCCACCCCCGUUCCCUCAAAUGUCUCCAUACUCUUUGGUCUUCAGACUGAAUAUGUCCAUGAACUAAAAAAGGCAGAGCCAACUUACACUUACAGAGAGGUUGUCAUGUGACUAGCUCAAUUUAUUGAAAUCCCACCAGAGCCAAUAAUUAGUAGGAUUCCGGGGACCAUUUUCUUACCAAAUACUGAAACAAGUAAAUGUAUUUAAUCUCCAGUUUGGCUGCAAUGAGAAGGCUCCAUAAUGAUGAGAAAUUGCAUCCUGAUUUUAGCUGAUUUAAGUUUUAAAGAAAUGUUGUUUGUACACACUAUUAUCUUUAAGCUCUAUGCUGACAAAAUUACUCAGUUUGAAAAGGAAAAUUAUCUUCAGAGAUACUUAACCUAACCCUUCAUUAACCCCAGAUUUCUUUUUUCAACCACCUAAUCAUGAAUGAAUGAGAAAACUGGAAUACCAAUAUAGCACUUAAAUAUUUCCAAAAAUAAAGCCUUAAGAGAAUGUGAAUUCAUGGGCCAGAAAAGUCUGAAGAGAAUUCUCAAAAUCAUAAAUUUUCAUAGAAUCAUAAAAUUCGGGGAACUUAAUUAGAAGUUAGCUAAUUUGAAUCUCUAUUCAAGGCAAAAUAUCUUCAAAGAAUUCUUGUAAAAUGAUGUUCAGCUUCAGUUGGGUUACCGCCAGUGACAAGGGACACAAAGUCAACUCCAUUUUCAAAUACUUUUAAUUUUUAGGAAACAGCAAACUCAUUUUAAUUUCUACCUGUUGACAAUACUUACACCAUCUGAAAGGAGAAAUGAGGGAUUAGAUCUACUCUUUCUUCGAAUAAUAGUAGAGGCUGCUGUUUACUUACCUGAACAUUCCUCAAUCCUUUGGACUACAGUCUUAAGUGUUAUAUCUACAAAUGGCCAUCCUUCAGCAGUGUGUCUAUUUUUGGUGCUUCUCUAUGUCUGCCAUGAUCUCACUUAAGCAUUGCAAUAACUCCAUAAGUUGAUAUUAUUGUCCCCACCACAUGGAUAAGAAUUCUGGAGUCUCAGGGAAGUUCCAACCCCCGGUCACUGAGUUGUUCCCUUCCCUUCUAGAUGAAUUUAUUUGUUAGUAAGUCUUAAAAGCACUUGAGAAUUGAGCCUGUGGAUGAUAGGUUUUUUGAGCAGGUAUGGGCAGUAGACAUUAAGAACUGGAAGAAACACAUUAGGAAAAAUGAAAACCUGUCAGGAAUUGUGACAAUAAUCAAAGUGCUGAGAUUGGCAUGAUUAAUGACAGGUAGCACAAGGUCAGGGUGAUGUUCCCAUGAUGUUGGGGCCAGAGUAGGCAGCAGGUUAGGGGAUGAGAAGAGAUUGGGGGAUUGAUUUAGUAGUCCUCAAGUAUUGAUCAAGAAGUUCUUGAUCAAAAUCAACCAAAUUCCAUUGUUAUAUUGUAUGCACGUAUGAAUAUGUAACAACAAAUCUCACCAUUAUGUAUAAUUAUAAUGCAGUAAUAAAAUAUAUUUAAAUAGCAAAAAAUAAUUAGGGGAAAAAAGGAAGUUCUAUGUGCUAGCUCUAUGCUGGGUGUUGGGAAUGGAUUUCGAAGAAAACAAAUAUGUCCCUUCCUUCAUGGAGAUGAAAGUCUGGUGGGGAAAGGGACAUUAAAUGAAUCAGCAUAGAGACAGGUGUAUGCAAAUGUCAAGUGAUUUGUAAGUGUUGGUAAUUAUGAGGAAAGAAAAGAACGAGGCUCUAAAAAGUGGUCCAGACUAUCUGAUAUAGGGGAUGUGCUAGUAGCCUUAAGGGUGGUUGGCCAUUCUGAUGGUGAGAAGACCAUCUCCCUGGCCAAAGGGCUGUGCUCCAUGUCUGGCCAGCUGCCCCACCCUGCCAGCUGCGGAUUGGGCUGGGACAGAAUCCAACUGGAGUUUUGGAUAAUGACAGUCUGGAAGCACCCUCUAAUGUUACGGGAAGGAAUAUAGUAGAGAAGGAGUUGAGGAAGGAAGAAUUUUAAUUGAGACUGGCUUGGGGGAUGGUGAGAACAGUUCUUUUCCUGGACUUAGGAAAAGCCCCAGCAACCAUGUUGACAGGGUUGGGGAUAAGGUUUAGAGUGAUCCCAUGUGGUGUCUCAGAAUGUGUACUUACAGCCCAGCUAAAACUACUAUAAUGAGCUAAGAAUUCUUCCACUGCUCUGUUUGGCUCAUUUACUGUUCCAAAGAUGCCUUCUCAAUGCUUGUCCUCCUAGCUUACUAUAUCAGCGAAGAAAUGGAUAGAGAAGGCACAUUGGCUUUUAUUUUUUCAUGCUCCUAGAGGCUAUGACCUCAUCUUACAUCGACAAUGACUCUCCUUCCAAAUAAGGAGAGGUUUAGGACUUCAACCUAUCUUUUUGGCACAUUUCAACCCAGGGACAGAAACAGAGAACAGCUAAUCAUUACCAUCAGGAAAGCAAACACCUUUUCCUGGGGUCAGUUAAAGAUCCCCAAGCAGUCUGCACACUUGGGAGAAGGACGAGAGUCUCUGUGUCUCAAAGGAUCUCAGAAACUGCUGGUGGGGAGGGCAUUCUCCUUGCUCCAGGAAUUGCUUGAAAAACAGAACUCUAGCUUCACAAGCUGUGAGAAGGAAGAUGCCUGAGGAAGGCAUCUCUCACAGCUGCUAGGAGAGGUGGUGCAGCCUUCUCCAUGGUAGGGGCUGGACAAGAUAGUCCCUCAUAAAUCCUUGCAUACUACAUACCCUCCUUUUAUUAGAUUAUUGCUCUAUUUUGAGCCCUGUCCAGGUUAAUGCAUGUGCUACUUUCUCUGCCACAGAAUAUGGCAGAGCCCACAAGCUGCAGUAUGUUGUCAAGUGUGUGCAUCUACUGCCACCAUGUGCCCAAAAGACUCCAUGGCUAGAGUGAUCAGAGUCACCUUAGCAAGAAUAGGGGUAAAGGAGAGCAUUUCUGAUCAUUGUGUUGGGACAGCAGGUGUAAAUCAUGAGUGUUCCAGGUGCUAUAUAGUCACCCAUCCAUGAAAAGGGAAGCAAGUUGUGCAGGGGAGCAAGAGGAUGGGCAAAGAUUUUCCCAAGGGAAUUCUGGCAGUUUCCGGUUUGUCCCACUGGCCUACAUUUGUUCUCAGAACCAAGUUUCCUCUGAGAUCUACACUGGCCAUCUUGUGCCUCAAAGUUAACAACACAUUAAAGAGUUUUGAACUCCUUUGGCACAAAGAAUAAGGAAAUCGCAACAAUGCACAUUAAAGAAAAAAAAAACUUUCUAUGUUGCCUAUGUACUUGACAGGUCCAAACACACUUAAAGUUUUUUCUGACUUUAAAGGUGCAUUUUAAAUCAAUAAAGGAUCAAAAAGUCCAGAAAGGGCCUCUGUGUGUAUGCGUGUUUCAAAAUUGACAUAUUAUUUACAUAUGGAAAAAUAAAAGUAAAAUAUUUGUUUUAUAAUUGCUUCUUAGUCUGGAUACGGAUUUCUGUUCAUAGUGGGGAUGAGAUGAUACUGGUAAGGUAUAUCAAUCUGCCAAUUAAUGGAAAUGUAAUCUCUUCCAUU